UGGGGAAUCUUGCGCAAUGGGGGAAACCCUGACGCAGCAACGCCGCGUGGGUGAUGAAGGCCUUCGGGUCGUAAAGCCCUGUCAGGUGGGAAGAACCUCAUCGGUGCCAAUACCACCGAUGCUUGACGGUACCACCGGAGGAAGCACCGGCUAACUCCGUGCCAGCAGCCGCGGUAAUACGGAGGGUGCAAGCGUUGUUCGGAAUUAUUGGGCGUAAAGCGCGUGUAGGCGGUCGGGUAAGUCAGAUGUGAAAGCCUUCCGCUUAACGGGAGAAGUGCAUUUGAAACUGCUCGGCUGGAGUACGGGAGAGGAGGGUGGAAUUCCCGGUGUAGAGGUGAAAUUCGUAGAUAUCGGGAGGAACACCAGCGGCGAAGGCGGCUCUCUGGUCCGAUACUGACGCUGAGACGCGAAAGCGUGGGGAGCAAACAGGAUUAGAUACCCUGGUAGUCCACGCCGUAAACGAUGGGCACUAGGUGUAGGAGGUAUUGACCCCUUCUGUGCCGAAGUUAACGCAUUAAGUGCCCCGCCUGGGGAGUACGGCCGCGAGGCUA
rnacentral:rRNA from 1 species